GACGAACGCUGGCGGCGUGCUUAACACAUGCAAGUCGAACGGUGAAGCGAUUGCUUUCACUCGUGGAUCAGUGGCGAACGGGUGAGUAACACGUGAGUAACCUGCCCAUCACUCUGGGAUAAGCACUGGAAACGGUGUCUAAUACUGGAUACGACCAACCCUUGCAUGGGGGGGUGGGGGAAAGAUUUAUCGGUGAUGGAUGGACUCGCGGCCUAUCAGCUUGUUGGCGGGGUAAUGGCCCACCAAGGCGACGACGGGUAGCCGGCCUGAGAGGGUGACCGGCCACACUGGGACUGAGAUACGGCCCAGACUCCUACGGGAGGCAGCAGUGGGGAAUAUUGCACAAUGGGCGAAAGCCUGAUGCAGCGACGCCGCGUGAGGGAUGACGGCCUUCGGGUUGUAAACCUCUUUCAGCAGGGAAGAAGCGAAAGUGACGGUACCUGCAGAAGAAGCACCGGCUAACUACGUG
rnacentral:rRNA from 1 species